rnacentral:rRNA from 1 species
AUUGAACGCUGGCGGCAGGCCUAACACAUGCAAGUCGAGCGCGCGGCGGACGGGUGAGUACUGUCUGGGCACCUGCCUGAUGGAGGGGUAUAACUACUGGAAACGGUAGCUAAUACCGCAUACCAUCCGAUUUCCCCCGUUGGGCUUCGCUGGUGGGUGGGGUAACGGCUCACCUAGGCGACGAUCCCGAGCUGGUCUGAGAGGAUGACCAGCCACACGGGAAUUGGGACACGGUCCAGAGUCCUACGGGGGGAAGAAGUGGGGAAGAUGGCAGAAGGGGCGAAAGCUUGAUGCAGCAAUGCGGGGGGGGUGAAGAAGGCCUUCGGGUUGUAAAGCACGUUCAGUGGGGAGGCGUUACCCGCAGAAGAAGCACCGGCUAACUCCGUGCCAGCAGCCGCGGUAAUAC